rnacentral:rRNA from 1 species
UACGGAGGGUGCAAGCGUUAUCCGGAUUCACUGGGUUUAAAGGGUGCGUAGGUGGGCUGGUAAGUCCGUGGUGAAAUCUCCAGCUUAACUUGGAAACUGCCGUGGAUACUAUAGUCUUGAAUCUCGUGGAGGUAAGCGGAAUAUGUCAUGUAGCGGUGAAAUGCUUAGAUAUGACAUAGAACACCGAUAGCGAAGGCAGCUUGCUACACGAGUAUUGACACUGAGGCACGAAAGCGUGGGGAUCAAACAGG